CAUCCGUCUCGGAAUUUAUCCUUUUCGAUUUGCCUACUCUUUGGUAUUGGAACUGUUAAUAAAUUGUUGUUGUGCCUAUGGAACUUUCUUACUUGAAACCUAAUAUCCUUUGUUUCUCCAUAAUUGACGGUUCCAUCGAUUGAAGUUCAUAGGUUUCUGUGUGCAAUCUCAAAUUUAAGAGAAGAUGGUUUAGGGACUCAUCUAUUUCUAAGCAGAGAUAUAUCUAGAUAUAUCUGUCGGAAGAAUGAAAUGCAUUGCUUCUGUAAAAAGGAUGAAAAUGAUUCUCCACUGGAUUUACCAAGAUUUGAGUUAUACACCGAAGAACACCGAAGAACUUAAAGAAUACUAGAAGUCUACAGAAAUUUCUCCAGGCCAUACACCAGAUGCUGCCACAAUAGUAAAGACAACAUCGAUCUGACCCAGGUUUGAGAGGUUUUUGGCAAUCUGGACGGCAUCUGGUGAAGGAAGAUCCUGUCAUCAACGACAAGUUUAGCCUCCUCAACAGAUCAUCUAUAAGGUCUUGAACCAUUUACCUUAAUAUUGCUUUGAGAGGGUUGCACUGAGCAAGAGAAGGAAGGCCUAAUUCUGGCAUUGCGAGGAAGUCCACGGAUAGCGAAAUGAAACUGACA